rnacentral:rRNA from 1 species
GCAUAUCAAUAAGCGGAGGAAAAGAAACUAACAAGGAUUCCCCUAGUAACGGCGAGUGAAGCGGGAUGAGCUCAAAUUUAAAAUCUGGCUGGUUUACUAGUCCGAAUUGUAGUUUAAAGAAGCGUUUUCGGUGGCAGCCUGGGUAUAAAUCCUUUGGAACAGGGUAUCAUAGAGGGUGAGAAUCCCGUCUUUGACUCAGUGCAUGCUACUAUGUGAUACGUUUUCAAAGAGUCGAGUUGUUUGGGAUUGCAGCUCAAAAUGGGAGGUAAAUUUCUCCUAAGGCUAAAUAUUGGCGAGAGACCGAUAGCGAACAAGUACCGUGAGGGAAAGAUGAAAAGAACUUUGAAAAGAGAGUUAAACAGUACGUGAAAUUGUUGAAAGGGAAACGAUUGAAGUCAGUCAUACCAACGGGAAAUCAACCUUUUGAGCUUGGUCUCGUGGGUUUUGAAGAGUUUCAAAGCCUUCGGAUUCGCGGGAUUGGGAUCUCUUAGUGUACUUUUUCGUACGGUUAGUCAACAUCGGUUUUGAAUGUCAUAAAAUGACUGGAGGAAUGUAGCUUCGAUCUCGUAUUGAAGUGUUAUAGCCUUUAGUAGAUGUGAUGUUUGAGACCGAGGAUUGCAACGGAUACCCUUCAGGGCUAUUCGUCUGAUCUCUGAUACGUUGCCUUGAUGUUGAAAGCUUGCUUAUGAUGUUAGGGUAUUACGGUCAAAAGGUUAGAACGAAUUACAUUCGUUAAGGAUGUUGACGUA